rnacentral:tRNA from 1 species
GGCCUUGUAGCUCAGCUGGUAGAGCGUGCGCUGUACAAAAGCGUAGGUGGCGUCGAUGCAUGGGUUAGAAUCCUACCGAGGCUA